rnacentral:rRNA from 1 species
AUGGCGCCGCCGCACAGGAACGGAGGAAACCGGCUGAGCGCACUCCCCGACAAGGCGCUAGAGCGCGUCCUCUCCCACCUGAUGUCCGACGAGGCGGUACGCACCAGCGGGCUCUCCCGGCGAUGGCGCCACGUCCACGAGGGCGUCCCCGUCGUCCACCUCGUCGACACCAAGUCAGGCGAGCGGUACGGCCGCUCCGGGAGCGACCUCAAGGUCUGCUUCGACCACCAGGUGACGAGCGCGAUCAUGGGCAAGGGCAUGGCGACGCCGAUCCGCGCCUUCCGUGUCAGCGCGGUGCACCCCCCGUACGACCUGCUCGACCAGUGGAUCGCCACCGUCGUCAACUCCGGCGUCGAGGACCUCGACGUCAAGCUCGGGUACUGCGCCGACUCCAUGGGCACGCUCUGCCCCUUCCUGCGCUGCCCCAUCCUCGGAACGAAGCUCUCGGCGGACUUCGACAGGCACGACACCAACAGGUACACCGGGACGCACCCCCACAUCUUCGGCUGCCCCACGCUCCGCCGGCUGCGCCUCACCAACUGGACGCUCGACCUGCCGGGGAGCGUGGACAUGGCGGCGCUGGAGACGCUCUGCCUCGCCAGGAUCAUGGACCCCCACAGGGAGCUGCAGCAGCUCAUCACCGCCUGCACGGGCCUCGCGAACCUGACGCUGGAGGAGUGCCCGAGCAUCAAGGAGAUAGCCGUGACGCCCGCCCGCCUGCGGAGCUUCGCCAUGAUCUGCUGCCACCACGCCACGGGCGUCCAGCUGCAGACCACCUGCCUAGAGUCGCUGCACUACAAGGGCGGCCUUCCUGCCCGCGGCUCGUCCUUCAUCACCGUCGCAAACUACAACGGAGUCAAGGCGGUGAGGAUCGAAAUCUGCGAAAAACUCACCGGGAACCAUGGCUGUGAGCAACCAAACGAUGUUGCGCCGGUCACAAACCUCAUCCGCCGGUGCGCCAGGCGGGCGUAUCUUCACCUUUCCUUGCGCCCAUCCAUGGCCUGCAACAUGUUCACCGGCGUCCUGCGUGGCCUGGACAGCCUCGCCCACCUGAGCCUCCAGGGCUGCCUGCCCACAGAUGACGCCGUCCUGUCGGUCUCCACCUUGCUUGCCGAGGCCAGGAACCUGGAAGUACUCUCGCUGCAUCCUCUAGGUCCAGAGCCUCCAAAGAAGAAGAGGAAGAGGAUGCACAGGGACCAUGACGAUGACAGAUCAGAUUCAGACAGUGGCCCAGAAGACGGCCCCACCGACGAUGGCGUCAAGUACAGCAGCCAGAUGCCCGAGCGUCUGCGGCAGACGUACGUCAGGUGCUUGGCUCACAAGGUGAGGCGAAUCAGCAUUGCAAACUUCCAAGGGCGGCCUCUUGAAAAGAUGCUUGCAAGGUUUCUGCUCUCCAGGGCUGUGGCGUUGGAAGAAUUCUCUGUUACCUUAGCAGCUGGAGUUCAUCCGCGGAAGGCUGAGAUCACAAAGGAGUUAAAAUCCUGGCGACAGAAUCGCCGUGCCAGAGUCACUUGUAACUUAGAUUGA